rnacentral:rRNA from 1 species
CUGGGGUGAAGUCGUAACAAGGUAGCCGUAGGUGAACCUGCAGAAGAUCA